rnacentral:tRNA from 1 species
GCACCAGUAGCUCAACGCCAGAGCGCCGGCCUUGUAAGUCGGACGCCGGAGGUUAAACCCCUCCCUAGUGCU